GUGAGAUAUGAUCAGCGUUUGGACAUGCGAUUUUACGUUGAUUCCAUCUCAUGA
rnacentral:pre_miRNA from 1 species